rnacentral:lncRNA from 1 species
AUCAGCUGAUUCUGUCGAACCCAUAAAAUCGUGGAGCUGAAAGAAGCCUCUGAGAUAUCCCGGUCCAAUUCUCUCAUUUUACAGCUCUUCUGAUCGGAGAGAGAGACUCAGUUUGGAACUACUCCAUCCGUGAUCCAGCGCUAAGCAGCUCCCAUGUAAAAAGAGGAAGCGGCUCUCAGUAGCAGAGUCUGGAAAAGGGCUGGUGGACUGUGUCCUAUUCUGUGCUCUUACUGCCACUUUUACAAACAUGCUCUCUCUUCUUAGUAAACUCCACCUCUAUGCCAGGAUUUUAUUGAUUGGCAAUCUAGACCCAAGUAGUAGUAUCAAACUUUCACUCAAAAUUCUAAAGGACAGAUUAUAAUUAAUGCAUUUUUUAGAAGAGCUGAGAAAAAAAAACGUUUCCACAGUCUACAUUCUUAUUGAACCAAUUCAGUUCAGCUUAGCCUAGUCAUUAGCUGCAUCAUUCCACAAACUAGAUAUGCUCC